CGCGGGAUGGAGCAGCCUGGUAGCUCGUCGAGACUCAUAACCCGAAGGUCGUCGGUUCAAAUCCGGCUCCCGCAACCA
rnacentral:tRNA from 1 species